UAUUUAGAACAUAAACUGAUUGAAAAAGUAAUUGCGCAUCGAUCGUCAUUGUCUUUCGAAACCCUUCCAAUCAAUCGAAGGAACCAAAGGAAAACUUUCACAGAAUCGUAGCGCCGCGACGAAUUUUCCGAUGAAUCGCCGGCAGUGCGUGAGAGCCAUUUCGGACACAGAGAGUGAGUCCGAUCACGAAACGAUGAAGUGCUUAUCGUGUCUGGAGGAUUACCGGUCACGCGACGCCGGAACCUGCAAGGAGUGCUACGAUGAAGCCAAUGAGACUGAGGAAGAACUCAAGCGUGAGAUUGAAGACUUGAAAGCGAAGGUCGCUUUCCUCAGGUUUUGGUCCCCUCUUGAUCAUCUUCACAGUAGGUCGAAUGCACCUUGCUUUACGGAUAUCGUUUUGAUCGCCACCGGCGAUGGGCCCGAGGGAUACUCUGCGCCUCUUCCGGCUCAUAAAGCUGUCUUGGCUUAUGAAGGUGGAUGUAUGCACCUUGUUAAUAAUGUCGGGCCCGGACUCAGAAGGGGAAGAACAAAAGUCGCUCAGGGCACCUCUGUUCCAACACCUGAAGUGGAACAACCUGAACCUCAAGAGGAGGUUAGAGACAUGCCCCAAGCUAGCGAGAGAACCGUAUUGCGGGCACCAAGAACUAGAAAGCGCCGAAGGGGAGCAAGGGCCCAAGACUUGCCUGAUAUAGACCCUAUUGCUUCCUUCUCCAAGGAGGUUCCAUCGGUGCCAACCACUCUCGCCCAGCCAGCCGUCAGCCACACUCACAUUGGAUGUAUUACAAGCAUUCAUGUUAACCUCAAUGGAAAACCAGGCUCGAAUGACCCAAAUGAUGCAGACACUAGUGGCUAAUCAGACAACCGUGUGAGGGACUAAAGAUUCAGGGACUAUGACCGUGGAGUCUCGUUACCUGAAAGAAUUCCAGAGGCAUAAACCGCCUUCCUUUGACGGAGGCAAGAUGGAUCCCAUCACAGUAGAGACCUGGCUAAAGGCUAUUGAAACAACCUUCCUGUCUAUGAACUGCCCGCUGGAGUACCAGGUCCAUUGUGGGACUUACAUGUUGAAGGGAGGGGCGCACUUCUGGUGGAAAGGCGCUCAAAGGAUUAUUGCACCACAAGGAGAGACUAUCACCUGGUGCCAGUUUAAAGAAGCGUACCUCUGCAAGUACUAUCCUAUCACCGCCAGAAUGAAAAUGCGGGCAACGUUCCUUAUGCUCAAACAGGGGGACAAGUCAGUGGAGGAGUAUGAUCAGGAAUUCAACAGGCUAGCAAGGUUUUCUUUCGCAUAUGUUAGUACUGAGGAGUUGAAGGUCGAGCGAUUCAUUGCUGGCCUAAGAGAGGAUCUAAAAUGGCAUGUGGCAGCCCUGGCAUCCCCUCUGAUUAUGCAGAAGCCCUUCGAGUGGCCAGCCUCAUUGACAUGCCCCGCAUUGACAAGUUACAAUCAGGAUCAGCCCAGUCAUCCCACACCGCAAUUCAAGGAAAGAGGACAGACUGGAACCACCCCAAAAUUGGUAGACUGCCCCGCAGUCGCACUGAUAAGUGGGGGGUUCCGAACAGGACCAUUUGUCCUAAUUGUCGGCGUCCUCACAUGGGGGAGUGCAGAGCAGGGACAGAUGCAUGCUUCAAAUGUGGCCAAGAAGGGCACUUUGCAGCAGACUGCCCUCAGAGGAACGAUCAACAUACUAACUGACCUGCGGCACAAAAUCAGAGGGGCCGGGUGCUCAACCUCAGCAGGGGCGAGCUGUAGCCCAUGCAACCACAGUCAGACAAGCUGACAAGCCCGACGCAGUUAUUACAGGUGUGUGAGGCGUCGGGUCAAGAGAGGGCGUGAUCAGAGAUGGAUCUGGGUCGUUACAAAUGGUAUAAGAGCCAGACACCGGACGAUGUGCCAGCCUUCUCGCUGUUCCCCAA